rnacentral:snoRNA from 1 species
UGUCUCUCUUUCACUUUGCUCAAAUGGACUGAUGUCUUUAUUGGUCAUUCAAGUGGGGCAAAGGAAAUGUUCUUCUUAAAACUCAGGCAGAUGAAGUGUUUGCUCACGUAACCUGUCAGAUUGAAGUAGAU